rnacentral:misc_RNA from 1 species
UAUUAAGCGUUUUUUUUUCUCUUUUCUUCCCAACAUUCGAAAAUUUCCAAAUCUUUGUCUGAAAUGUAUGUUGAUCUGUGGAAAUCCCCAAACGGGAAGCUUUUAUAUGCAUGAAACCCAACCAAGAAUACAACUCAAAUAGACAUGGUAUGUCACAUAUCAUCAGUUUUCUGCAUCAGCUAUUAAAGUGCUCUACAAAUGCAGUAUUGUGAACUUGCUGCUAGCAAGUCUGCAACCCUACUUCGCCUACCCUGUUUUAGGUCUUUCACUUUUUCAAUCAGAACCAUGGGAAACAAGCACCGUCAACCACUCAUCUCAUUGUCACAAGGUUUGCUUUGUUGAUAAUCUAAUGAGGAAAUAGAUGCUACCAAAUCAUCAAGUUUUAAAGGAGAAUGACGAACAGUAUACUGGAACAUAACCUGCAAAUGUAAAUUUUCAGGACACUACAGUCAAGCAAGCUGAUAAAUACCACAAGAACACAUAAAACUAGCCAAGUGCAUUGACAAAAUAUCAUCCUUUAUUCCAAGAGCAGUGAAACUAAAUGUGAAAAAAAGCGAUGGUGAAACCAAACAUGGGAGAAAGGCAAUGGUGAAACUAAACCCACAUCUCUGUUACUUUGUCUACUAUUUUGUCUGUUUCUUUUAUUCAUGUAGCAUUAACCAAAUAGUAGGCAAACUAAGAGGGAUUAUAUUAAUGAGAAAGCAUGCUCAAAGAAACAAAUGGCAUAUGAGAUUUGAAUGCCGCCAGUAGUUAACUUUUUCUUUCCUUUCUUUAUUCAUAAAGUAUCAAAGCUUCUAGCAUCUAUUGUGCACAGCACAAUCAUUACCUAAGAUCAAAGCAGAAUUCAUUACUAAGUAUAGAAGUACAUAUUUCCUACUAACCUUAGAGUAACUAUCUGGAAAAGCACGUGCCCAAUUGACUUUGCCAAGAUAGUGUAAAUCCACCUUCUCAAGCUUUCCAUCCACAAAACUCAACCCUCCAUCACUAAUAGCAAAACGUAAAAGAUUUCCUGAAUGCAGCCCUGUCUUUUGAAUAAAAUCCAAAUCCAAGCAGCCAAAAACCACAGGAGGAUCAUCAGAUGUAAUCAAUUUUCCAUCAUCUUGUAGCUCCAAAACUACCUGUUGUUGGCUUGGAACCUGCCCUUUACUAUCUGUGUCAAUAACAUACUGACUACAGUUCUCAUCUUUCCAGACUAAUGCUAGUGGUGUAUUUCCUGUUUGAUAGUGUGCAUGCCUGACAAAGAAUCAGUGUGAUGUAGAUGAAUAGGUCAGCAAAUUGUACUCUAAAGAAAUCUGGUAUUACAAAUAAACCCAUGAUCAAAACUAUCUCACAAAUCUUGCUUAAAUGAGCACCAAUCCAGUAAAUACCAAGCUGAAUAAAUGCAUAAACCCAGCACGCUAAAUUCAGAUAUCUAAAAUUAGCAUUGUAAGUCCACUUGCAUCCUCUUUAACUUUAGAUAAUGAAGAGACUUGUGCUUCAAAAAUUAAAACUCAUCAUAGAAAAUGUUUUAUCAUAAGUACCCCAUAUUGUGAUAGUACAACGGUAACAUGCUUGGCAAUUGCUCAAAGAGAACAUAUCUAUCUCAGUUGGACAUAAUAUUAUGAUACUUCUUGAUGGAAGCAUAAAUUAGCUACUUAAUUACUGAACAUAUAUUGAUGAGAAAACAAAGGAAAAAUCUCCUCUGAACUCCUACACUAGAGAAUAGAUACUAAAAAUUUUUGUAAUUUCAAAAUAACGUAUGACUCUUUAAAUCAAACUUAGGAACAAUUCCUUAAGGGGAGCAGAGAGCUGAAAGCCAAAAUAUUGGCACCUGCAGGCCUUGGAGCAGGUGUCAACCUUAAAAAACUGGCAAGCAGCUCACCCCACAUCAAGCUACAUAUAAUAGGAGUCCACAGCAUUGGAACCUGCAAUCUAUAAACACAGCUCCAUUUCUUCAAACUGGGUGUUCUUCUAAAGCUUAAAAAAAGUAUAUUCCAGCCAAUAGUAACAAGAGAAGGAACGAAACAAAAAUUAUAACUCGAGGCAAAAGGUCUUACUUGUUAUAGAACAAUAAACCAUCCUUAACAUAAGGCAAUGCUCCUGUAUACGCAGACGAUAGACCACUCUGGUCACAAUUAUAAAUGGGAACUGUACUGAAUCUGUAUUUAUGGUAAAAAGAAGGAGGACUACAAGCCCCAGUCUCUCCAAGCUUCGAGUUCAACCAAAAAAACCUGAACUCAGCGGUGCAGUCAUAAAGAGAGUAACCGCGCCAGCAAACCAUGUCUAUCACAUAGUAAGUUUGGUCCGGCUUCAACCCAAUAUCACAAAACCGAAAACAAUAACAAUAAUUAACUAAUUACUAUUAAAGACAGAAAUCUAGAGUCUAUGAUCAAUGAUAAGAAUUCUUUACCUCAUGGAAUAUGCAGUCCAGAAUAGAGUAAGAUUGAGAAGGCCCCGAUACAUCUCUAGUCUUAGCCCCAUUUGGUAAAGCAGAUGGGAAACGAUGCAAGAUGGAGCCAUUCCUUUGCCUACUAACUGUGGUUCCAUUAGAAGAAACAACAAAGCAUCGUUUUCCAGCUGGCCUUGCAAAUACAUACCAAUCUCGGGCCAAGUAAUCAGGGACGUCGAUCAUCCACUCCGGAAGCAUUAGCUGCCUAGCGAACCACUUGCGAGCCUCCGCUCCUUUGAGCUUCGACGCAUGACGGACGUCGAGAUCCUUUGACGAAGCUCCGGAUUCUUCUUGUUCAGGCAGUAAAUCGGGUAGCGAUUCGGGUUCGAGUUCGAUGUCCGGCUCAUAUUCGGGUUGUGUGCUUUGGGAUAGGAGAGAGAGGACAGUGGAGGCCAAGCACCGAGCUUGUUGUUGAGCAUCGCGGCGGCCCUGAGCUUGUCGCUGCAGCGUCAGAUCCCUCCGUCUCUGCUGAUCGGAGAUCGCCGCUCUCUUGAACGGACGGCGGAGAUCGUGCGGUGCCAUUUGCUUAUCCUGUGCAAGAGAAAACGGCCCUCUUUCCCCUUGAAAUUUAUUCCUCGCUACCUCAACG